rnacentral:rRNA from 1 species
UACACUCCUGCGGGAGGCAGCAGUGGGGAAUAUUGCACAAUGGGCGCAAGCCUGAUGCAGCCAUGCCGCGUGUAUGAAGAAGGCCUUCGGGUUGUAAAGUACUUUCAGCGGGGAGGAAGGCAAUACGGUUAAUAACCGUGUUGAUUGACGUUACCCGCAGAAGAAGCACCGGCUAACUCCGUGCCAGCAGCCGCGGUAAUACGGAGGGUGCAAGCGUUAAUCGGAAUUACUGGGCGUAAAGCGCACGCAGGCGGUCUGUCAAGUCGGAUGUGAGAUCCCCGGGCUCAACCUGGGAACUGCAUUCGAAACUGGCAGGCUUGAGUCUUGUAGAGGGGGGUAGAAUUCCAGGUGUAGCGGUGAAAUGCGUAGAGAGCUGGAGGAAUACCGGUGGCGAAGGCGGCCCCCUGGAGAAAGACUGACGCUCAGGUGCGAAAGCGUGGGGAGCGAACAGGAGUAGAAACCCUUGUAGUCCCAUG